rnacentral:rRNA from 1 species
UGUGUAGGAUAGGUGGGAGGCUUUGAAACCGGGACGCUAGUUUCGGUGGAGCCGUCCUUGAAAUACCACCCUGGUUUGUUUGAGGUUCUAACCUUGGCCCGUGAAUCCGGGUCGGGGACAGUGCAUGGUAGGCAGUUUGACUGGGGCGGUCUCCUCCCAAAGUGUAACGGAGGAGUUCGAAGGUACGCUUGGUACGGUCGGACAUCGCACCUAAAGUGCAAUGGCAAAAGCGUGCUUAACUGCGAGACCGACAAGUCGAGCAGGUGCGAAAGCAGGACAUAGUGAUCCGGUGGUUCUGUAUGGAAGGGCCAUCGCUCAACGGAUAAAAGGUACUCUAGGGAUAAC